GACGUAGGGCGCGAGCGUUGUCCGGAUUUAUUGGGCGUAAAGAGCUCGUAGGCGGCUUGUCGCGUCGUGUGUGAAGUCUCAGGGCUCAACUCUGACAUUGCAUACGAUACGGGCAGGCUUGAGUUCGGUAGGGGGAGACUGGAAUUCCUGGUGUAGCGGUGAAAAUGCGCAGAUAUCAGGAGGAACACCGGUGGCGAAGGCGGGGUCUCUGGGCCGAUACUGACGCUGAGGAGCGAAAGCGUGGGGAGCGAACAGG
rnacentral:rRNA from 1 species